rnacentral:tRNA from 1 species
UGUAGGGUGGCUGAGUGUUAAGGCGUGGGUUUGUAAAACCUGUUAUUGGAGUUUAAUUCUCUUUCUUACAA